rnacentral:rRNA from 1 species
AGUGAACGCUGGCGGUAGGCCUAACACAUGCAAGUCGAACGGCAGCACAGUAAGAGCUUGCUCUUACGGGUGGCGAGUGGCGGACGGGUGAGGCAUACAUCGGAAUCUACUUUUUCGUGGGGGAUAACGUAGGGAAACUUACGCUAAUACCGCAUACGACCUACGGGUGAAAGCAGGGGAUCUUCGGACCUUGCGCGAUUGAAUGAGCCGAUGUCGGAUUAGCUAGUUGGCGGGGUAAAGGCCCACCAAGGCAACGAUCCGUAGCUGGUCUGAGAGGAUGAUCAGCCACACUGGAACUGAGACACGGUCCAGACUCCUACGGGAGGCAGCAGUGGGGAAUAUUGGACAAUGGGCGCAAGCCUGAUCCAGCAAUACCGCGUGGGUGAAGAAGGCCUUCGGGUUGUAAAGCCCUUUUGUUGGGAAAGAAAAGCAGCAGGUUAAUACCCCGAUGUUCUGACGGUACCCAAAGAAUAAGCACCGGCUAACUUCGUG